GCCCUCGUAGCCCAGUGGUAGAGCACUCCACUUAUUCUUAUCCAAGUAUUCUUAGGAGAGGACCGCGGUUCGAAUCCGCGCGGGGGCG